AACGCGAAGAACCUUACCUGGGUUUGACAUCCCAUGAAAAGUGCAGAGAUGCAUAAUAGCCGCAAGGCACAUGGAGACAGGUGCUGCAUGGCUGUCGUCAGCUCGUGUCGUGAGAUGUUGGGUUAAGUCCCGCAACGAGCGCAACCCUUUCCCUUAUUUGCCAGCAUUAAGUUGGGCACUCUAGGGGUACUGCCGAUGAUAAAUCGGAGGAAGGUGGGGACGAGGUCAAGUCAUCAUGGCCCUUACAUCCAGGGCAACACACGUACUACAAUGGCCAAGACAAAGCGAAGCGACACCGUAAGGUAGAGCCAAUCGCAAAAACAUGGUCUCAGUUCGGAUUGUGGUCUGCAACUCGACCACAUGAAGUUGGAAUCUCUAGUAAUCGCAGAUCAGCAGGCUGCGGUGAAUACGUUCCCGGGCCUUGUA
rnacentral:rRNA from 1 species